UGGGGCUGUGAGUAGGCCUGGAUCGAGAUUGGGGAGGGAAAACGAAACGAAAAACCCUAAUCGAUUGCUGAUUGUUUCUCCCCACGGUAACUCUGCGUCGUUGCUGAUGGUUCUUGCUUUUCCGUCUAUGCCACCUCACUCCUGGUAUUCUUCAUCCAGGUCUUUAUAUUUAAAGAUUCAUUGUCAUUGAAGUGGUAUUCUCAAUCCAUGUCUUUAUUAUAUGGGGCCUUUAAUUCAUUUUUCUGCAAUUUUGGGGAAAUUUCAACUCUUUCAUUUUGAUUUCAUCAUUUCUUGUUGGAGAACUAUGAAUUUCGUGAUUUCAUUGCUCAAUUCAUUUUAAAUAUAGCAUUAUUCCCAAUUUCAAGUAGGUUUUUGAUCUGUUUUUGUGUUCCCUCUAAGUCUAAAGAUACACAGGCACUUAGACUCCUUGAUGAUCAAAGGGACAGCUGUAGAUGAACUCAUGAACGUGGUCUAUAUGCUCUUUGAUGGAUUGGAACCUGGAACAUCAACUGUUUCAGUUGUCACAAGAAGAAUAUUAUGACCAUUGGAGCUCAAGACAGCUUGCUGCAGCUGCGAGCCAAACUUAUCGAAGCAAGGCAUACUAAGAAUCAGAGGACGAGAAGAAAGGAGAAAGAGGCGCAGGCGCAGGCGCAGGAGAGAGUAUACCUUCUUUGGUCUUUGUCUAUUCCGUUAACUAUUGCUUUUGUUAGAACUGAAAUAUACAUUAUGCUCUUCAAGAACACUAAUUAGGGGUCAUGUGUAAUUAUAGGAUCAACCAACAUGACAAGACUGGGUCCUUUGAAAUCAAUUUGAAACUAAGUUUUUUUUUCUCUUUUGUAUAAUUAUACUGUAUAGCCUUGUACAUAUAUGAAAUCUUAUAAAGUUGACUUUGUGAUGA